rnacentral:rRNA from 1 species
AGCGAACGCUGGCGGCAGGCCUAACACAUGCAAGUCGAACGAACCUUUCGGGGUUAGUGGCGGACGGGUGAGUAACACGUGGGAACGUGCCUUUAGGUACGGACUAACUCAGGGAAACUUGUGCUAAUACCGAAUGUGCCCUUCGUGGGAAAGAUUAAUCGCCUAUAGAGCGGCCCGCGUCUGAUUAGCUAGUUGGUUGAGGUAAUGGCUCACCAAGGCGACGAUCAGUAGCUGGUCUGUGAGGAUGAUCAGCCACAUUGGGACUGAGACACGGCCCAAACUCCUACGGGAGGCAGCAGUGGGGAAUCUUGCGCAAUGGGCGAAAGCCUGACGCAGCCAUGCCGCGUGAAUGAUGAAGGUCUUAGGAUUGUAAAAUUCUUUCUCCGGGGACGAUAAUGACGGUACCCGGAGAAGAAGCCCCGGCUAACUUCGUG